UCCGGUUUGGCACCGGCAGUCCCCCCAGAGUCCUCGGCAUAACCCGUUAGCAACUGGGAGCGGGGGUUGCGCUCGUUGCGGGACUUAACCCAACAUCUCACGACACGAGCUGACGACAGCCAUGCAGCACCUGUGCAUGGACUCCGAAGAGGGGCCCUGGUUUCUCAGGGCUUUCCCAUGCAUGUCAAGCCUAGGUAAGGUUCUGCGCGUUGCGUCGAAUUAAACCACAUGCUCCACCGCUUGUGCGGGCCCCCGUCAAUUCCUUUGAGUUUCAGCCUUGCGGCCGUACUCCCCAGGCGGGGCACUUAAUGCGUUAGCGACGACACUCAGAGGGUCGCUCCCCCCGACGCCUAGUGCCCAUCGUUUACGGCGUGGACUAC
rnacentral:misc_RNA from 1 species